GGGUGGUUAGCUCAGCGGCAGAGCAUCGGCCUUACAAGCCGGAGGUCACAGGUUCGAGCCCUGUACCACCCACCA
rnacentral:tRNA from 1 species